UACGUAGGGGGCAAGCGUUGUCCGGAAUCAUUGGGCGUUAAGCGCGCGCAGGCGGUUGGUUAAGUCUGGUGUAUAAACCAAAGGCUCAACCUUUGGAGGCAUUGGAAACUGGUCAACCGGAGUGUAGGAGAGGAAAGUGGAAUUCCACGUGUAGCGGUGAAAUGCGUAGAGAUGUGGAGGAACACCAGUGGCGAAGGCGACUUUCUGGCCUAUAACUGACGCUGAGGCGCGAAAGCGUGGGGAGCAAACAGG
rnacentral:rRNA from 1 species